GAUGAAGAACGUAGCGAAAUGCGAUAAGUAAUGUGAAUUGCAGAAUUCAGUGAAUCAUCGAAUCUUUGAACGCACCUUGCGCCCCUUGGUAUUCCGAGGAGCAUGCCUGUUUGAGUGUCAUGAAACCCUCAAACCCAAGUUUUGGAUUUCGAUCCAUGCUUGAGUUUGGAUUUGGAUGUUUGCCGGUGAUGAACCGACUCAUCUUAAAAGUAUUAGCUUGGAUCUGUCUAUAUGACUGGUUUGACUUGGCAUAAUAAGUAUUUUGCUGAGGACAUCUUCGGAUGGCCAGGACCUAGACUACUGUCUGCUAACUAAACCAUCACUUUAAGUACAUCUUUGGAUGUUACUCAUUGUGUAACUUUGACAUCUGGCCUCAAAUCAAGUAGGACUACCCGCUGAACUUAAGCAUAUCAAUAAGCGGAGGA
rnacentral:misc_RNA from 1 species